UACGUAGGGUGCAAGCGUUGUCCGGAAUUAUUGGGCGUAAAGAGCUCGUAGGCGGUUUGUUGCGUCGGCUGUGAAAUCCCGAGGCUCAACCUCGGGUCUGCAGUCGAUACGAGCAAACUAGAGUGUUGCAGGGGAGACUGGAAUUCCUGGUGUAGCGGUGAAAUGCGCAGAUAUCAGGAGGAACACCGGUGGCGAAGGCGGCUUGCUGGGCCUUACCUGACGCUGGAGGAGCGAAAGCGUGGGGAGCGAACAGG
rnacentral:rRNA from 1 species